ACUUUUUGUAGAACGGUCCGGCGAGUUACGUGUAUGAUGCGAGGUUAAAUACUGUGUAAGGUAUGAAGCCGAAGGGAAACCGAGUGUGAAUAGCGCGAAGAUAUAGUAUCAUGCAGUAGACCCGAAACCGAGUGACCUAUCCAUGAGCAGGUUGAAGCUUGAGUAAAAUCAAGUGGAGGACCGAACCGGUAUUCGUUGAAAAGGAUUCGGAUGACUUGUGGAUAGCGGAGAAAUUCCAAUCGAACUCGGAGAUAGCUGGUUCUCCUCGAAAUAGCUUUAGGGCUAGCCUUGUUUAGUAGCAUGUGGAGGUAAAGCACUGAAUAUGUGAGGGUUCUUACCAGAAUACCGAUCAUUAUCAAACUCUGAAUGCCAUGUGUGUAAGAACAGGAGUCAGACAGUGACAGCUAAGUGCCAUUGUCAAAAGGGAAAGAGCCCAGACCAACAGCUAAGGUCCCAAAAUUGUAGUUAAGUGGAAAAGGAUGUGGGAAUUCAUAGACAACCAGGAUGUUGGCUCAGAAGCAGCCAUUCAUUUAAAGAGUGCGUAAAAGCUCACUGGUCGAAGUAGGCCUGCGCCGAAAAUUACCGGGGCUAAACUACAUACCGAAGCUUUGGAUUUGGUACGUAAAGUAUUAAGUGGUAGAGGAGCGUUGUAUAAAGAUUGAAGCUAUACUGAAAAGAGUAGUGGACGAUAUACAAGAGAGAAUGCCGGAAUAAGUAGCGAGAGCACAGUGAGAAUCUGUGCCGCCGAAAACCUAAGGUUUCCUGGGGAAGGUUCGUCCGCCCAGGGUAAGUCGGGACCUAAGACGAGGCUAAAGCAGCGUAGUCGAUGGAAAGCAGGUAAAAGAUUCCUGCACUACCGAAAUGCGAUAUACAAUAUAUCAUGACGCAUCAGAAGAGUCUAAGCGAGCAAAUGGAAAAGUUCGUACCGCAAGGUGGAGUGAAAAAUAGUAACGAAGUAGAUAAAUCAGGUGACAAGAAAAGUGAUAUAGGAGCAUAGAGGUACUCGUACCGUAAACCGACACAGGUAGGAAGAAAGAGAAUUUUCAGGCGAACGAGAGAAUCAUUGUUAAGGAACUCGGCAAAUUAACCCCGUAACUUAGGGAUAAGGGGAGCCAAUAGCGAUAUUGGUCGCAGAGAAAUGGCCCAAGCAACUGUUUAGCAAAAACACAGGUUUCUGCCAAAUCGAAAGAUGAAGUAUAGGAGCUGACGCCUGCCCAGUGCUGGAAGGUCAAGGGGAAGAGUAAACGUUUCGAUGUGAAGCUCUGAACUUAAGCCCCAGUGAACGGCGGCCGUAACUAUAACGGUCCUAAGGUAGCGAAAUUCCUUGUCAGGUAAGUUCUGACCCGCACGAAAGGCGUAAUGAUUUGGGCACUGUCUCGACAACGAACUCGGCGAAAUUGUAGUACUAGUGAAGAUGCUAGUUACCUGUGAUAAGACAGAAAGACCCCAUGGAGCUUUACUGUAGCUUGAUAUUGAGACUAGGUAAGAGAUGUACAGAAUAGAUGGGAGACUAUGAGAUAAGGACGCCAGUUCUUAAGGAGUCACCUUUGGGAUACCAUCCUUCUUUUACUUGGAAUCUAACUAGUUGCCAUGAACUGGUAAUAGGACAGUGUCAGGUGGGCAGUUUGACUGGGGCGGUCGCCUCCUAAAGAGUAACGGAGGCGUUCAAAGGUCAGCUUAACACGGUCAGAAAUCGUGUGAUGACGUGCAAAGGCGUAAGCUGGCUUGACUGCAAGACUGACAGGUCGAGCAGACGCGAAAGCGGGACUUAGUGACCCGAUGGUUGUGAGUGGAAAUGCCAGAGCUCAACGGAUAAAAGUUACCCUGGGGAUAACAGGCUUAUCUCCCCCGAGAGUCCAUAUCGACGGGGAGGUUUGGCACCUCGAUGUCGGCUCAUCGCAUCCUGGAGCGGUAGUACGUUCCAAGGGGUGGGCUGUUCGCCCAUUAAAGCGGUACGCGAGCUGGGUUCAGAACGUCGUGAGACAGUUCGGUCCUUAUCUAUCACAGGCGUAAGAUAUUUGAGAGGAGUUGCCCCUAGUACGAGAGGACCGGGGUGAAGGAACCGAUGGUGCACCAGUUGUAUCACCAGAUGCAUAGCUGGGUAGCCAAGUUCCGAUGGGAUAAACGCUGAAAGCAUAUAAGUGUGAAGCCCACCUCAAGAUUAGAUAUCUCAUGGCGAAAGUCAGUAAGACCCCAAGAAGACUACUUGG
rnacentral:rRNA from 1 species